rnacentral:rRNA from 1 species
AGAGCGGGAGCCCGGAGAUGGGCACUGAGACAAGGGCCCAGGCCCUACGGGGCGCAGCAGUCGCGAAAACUCCGCAAUGCGCGAAAGCGUGACGGGGCUACCCCGAGUGCCGUCCGCUGAGGAUGGCUUUUCCUUGGUGUAAUGAGCCGGGGGAAUAAGGAGAGGGCAAGACUGGUGUCAGCCGCCGCGGUAAUACCAGCUCUCCGAGUAGUAGGGGCGAUUAUUGGGCUUAAAGCGUUCGUAGCCGGCUUAGCAAGUCUCCUGUUAAAUUCAGCGACCUAAUCGUUGAGCCGCGGGAGAUACUGCUAGGCUAGGAGGCGGGAGAGGCUGACGGUAUUCCCGGGGUAGGGGUGAAAUCCUAUAAUCCCGGGAGGACCACCAGUGGCGAAGGCUGUCAGCU